GCUACAGGCUUAACACAUGCAAGUCGAGGGGCAUCAGGAAGAAAGCUUGCUUUCUUUGCUGGCGACCGGCGCACGGGUGAGUAACACGUAUCCAACCUGCCCUUUACUCGGGGAUAGCCUUUCGAAAGAAAGAUUAAUACCCGAUGGCAUAAUGAUUCCGCAUGGUUUCAUUAUUAAAGGAUUCCGGUAAAGGAUGGGGAUGCGUUCCAUUAGGUUGUUGGUGAGGUAACGGCUCACCAAGCCUUCGAUGGAUAGGGGUUCUGAGAGGAAGGUCCCCCACAUUGGAACUGAGACACGGUCCAAACUCCUACGGGAGGCAGCAGUGAGGAAUAUUGGUCAAUGGGCGCUAGCCUGAACCAGCCAAGUAGCGUGAAGGAUGAAGGCUCUAUGGGUCGUAAACUUCUUUUAUAUAAGAAUAAAGUGCAGUAUGUAUACUGUUUUGUAUGUAUUAUAUGAAUAAGGAUCGGCUAACUCCGUGCCAGCAGCCGCGGUAAUACGGAGGAUCCGAGCGUUAUCCGGAUUUAUUGGGUUUAAAGGGAGCGUAGGUGGACUGGUAAGUCAGUUGUGAAAGUUUGCGGCUCAACCGUAAAAUUGCAGUUGAUACUGUCAGUCUUGAGUACAGUAGAGGUGGGCGGAAUUCGUGGUGUAGCGGUGAAAUGCUUAGAUAUCACGAAGAACUCCGAUUGCGAAGGCAGCUCACUGGACUGCAACUGACACUGAUGCUCGAAAGUGUGGGUAUCAAACAGGAUUAGAUACCCUGGUAGUCCACACAGUAAACGAUGAAUACUCGCUGUUUGCGAUAUACAGUAAGCGGCCAAGCGAAAGCAUUAAGUAUUCCACCUGGGGAGUACGCCGGCAACGGUGAAACUCAAAGGAAUUGACGGGGGCCCGCACAAGCGGAGGAACAUGUGGUUUAAUUCGAUGAUACGCGAGGAACCUUACCCGGGCUUAAAUUGCAGUGGAAUGAUGUGGAAACAUGUCAGUGAGCAAUCACCGCUGUGAAGGUGCUGCAUGGUUGUCGUCAGCUCGUGCCGUGAGGUGUCGGCUUAAGUGCCAUAACGAGCGCAACCCUUAUCUUUAGUUACUAACAGGUUAUGCUGAGGACUCUAGAGAGACUGCCGUCGUAAGAUGUGAGGAAGGUGGGGAUGACGUCAAAUCAGCACGGCCCUUACGUCCGGGGCUACACAUGUGUUACAAUGGGGGGUACAGAAGGCAGCUAGCGGGUGACCGUAUGCUAAUCCCAAAAGCCUCUCUCAGUUCGGAUCGAAGUCUGCAACCCGACUUCGUGAAGCUGGAUUCGCUAGUAAUCGCGCAUCAGCCACGGCGCGGUGAAUACGUUCCCGGGCCUUGUACACACCGCCCGUCAAGCCAUGGGAGCCGGGGGUACCUGAAGUACGUAACCGCAAGGAUCGUCCUAGGGUAAAACUGGUGACUGGGGCU
rnacentral:rRNA from 1 species